rnacentral:tRNA from 1 species
CGUCGGGUGGAGUGGCGUCUGUGUCUGGGCUCAUAACCCAAAGGUCGUCGGUUCAAAUCCGACCCCCGCAACCA